rnacentral:SRP_RNA from 1 species
GCCAGGUGUGGUGGCCUGCGCCUGUAAUCCCAGCUACUCAGGAGGCUGAGGCAGGGGAAUCACUUGCACCCAGGAGGUGGAGGUUGCAGUGAACCGAGAUCGCGCCACGCGCCACUGUACUCCAGCCUGGGUGACAGAGCAAGACUCUGUCUCAA